AGCUUAUAAUUUUUGCAGUUGAAUACAAAGGGAAAAUGCAUAUUAGAGUCCCUUCAAUAAAUAAAUAUAUAUAUAAAAAAACAUGACAAUGAAUAGAAUACAAAGCAAAUGCAAGUUGCUCAAAACAUGACACUACACAGAGGGCCAAACAUUUAGAUCGCAGACAUUUGUCAAAAGAACGAGAAACGCGAAUACAAUUCACCAAGGAAUAACGAAGAUAUUGAUGAUAAUGCAAUAAGAAAAAAAAGCUCAAAUUAUACAAUAAUCAGUAAACGAGUAUAAACACAAAGAAGAAGAAGAGAUAAGUAGAUGAGCAUAAAUAUAAAAAGUGUGAAUGGAAAAACGGAAGGGAAAAUAGGGUUUGGGAUUCGAAUACUGCGACUGCGAGGGGAAGAAGAAACUGCAUUAGAC
rnacentral:lncRNA from 1 species